rnacentral:siRNA from 1 species
UGGAGAAGACCGUUGCACAGUGCA